CCUACGGGUGGCUGCAGUGGGGAAUAUUGGACAAUGGGCGUAAGCCUGAUCCAGCCAUGCCGCGUGAGUGACGAAGGUCUUCGGAUUGUAAAGCUCUUUUGGCGGGGACGAUAAUGACGGUACCCGCAGAAUAAGCCCCGGCUAACUUCGUGCCAGCAGCCGCGGUAAUACGAAGGGGGCUAGCGUUGUUCGGAAUUACUGGGCGUAAAGCGCACGUAGGCGGAUUUGUAAGUCAGGGGUGAAAUCCCGGGGCUCAACCUCGGAACUGCCUUUGAUACUGCAAGUAUUGAGUCCGGAAGAGGUGAGUGGAAUUCCUAGUGUAGAGGUGAAAUUCGUAGAUAUUAGGAAGAACACCAGUGGCGAAGGCGGCUCACUGGUCCGGUACUGACGCUGAGGUGCGAAAGCGUGGGGAGCAAACAGGAUUAGAUACCCGAGUAGUC
rnacentral:rRNA from 1 species